rnacentral:lncRNA from 1 species
AUGAGACAGAAAGAACCAGUUGUGGUGAUGAGCAAGUGGUGCCAGACUUUGCUAUCUAGCAAGAAAAGCUUGGGGCUUGUCUUCAUCCUAGAGCCCUAUGGAAGCUGUGCCUGGCUGGAUGAUGCUGGUGUUUCAGAGGUCACUGGUGGCAGCUCGGGGGGGACAGAGCUUGCAAUAAAAUACAGGGAUGCCCCACGAAUCGCUCCCUCUAGUACAGCCAGAUUCCACAAUCCUCCACUGAAACCUGUGUGCAGCAGCUUGAUUUUUGCACCUGCCCGGCACAGGAGGGUGUACCUGAUUUUCCUGUUACGUGCAAACAUCUGCUUCAGCUGUAAACUCUUCUGACAUCUCUGACAGAUAUAAUUAUAGUGCUCUGGGGGACUUCUGGCCUUGCCAGAAAUAGAUGGAAACAGGGAGAUGUGCAUUUAACAGGCAAAACUGGGAAGGUGCUGGGGAGAAUGGUGUCUGUGUUGUGUGACAGCACCAUGAAGGAGCCUGCUUCAUCUCCAGGCCUUCGUUCUGCUUUGCUUCCCAUGAUUAAAUCUCUGUCUCCCCAGAAAUCUUCCAAUAUCGAGGCAUAUUAGUGGAUGGAAGUCCUUGCACGCACAGUUAUUUGUUUGUGUGACAGCUUUGUUUGUGUAGAGGGUUAGGAAUGCAGCCUGCAUCGGGUGACGCAGUGUGACACCUGAGCAAGGUCCCAGCCAAAAGGUAAUGCGUUGUGCACAGCAGCACUGUGCAGAGCUGAGGCUGGGCACAGGUUCUGCUGUUCACUCAUUGGAUGGAUAUCAUUGCCUGCUCUUCUGUUUUGGUUUGCUGUACCCCUGGAUUACACAGCUGCCAGUCAGCAGCAAGUGAAGCUUAGAGAUACCCGCAGCCAGUUUUACAUCGCACUUCUUCCCUUGCUCAACACUGAAUCUUUGUUAAGUAAUUGCAGUGUCACCUGCGGGCAGCAGUUAAAUCACAGCGAUCGUCUUCCAAAAUCAAGUGUGACUGAUAUCGUGAUGAUGUGCGCGUGGCAAUCACCCUGCACACACCGUAUCUGCAGGAGUCCUCCUUAUCAGAAACUGGUACCUGAAUUUGGGGUGGAAUUUAUCUCACUCAGCUGUGGGUGUUGAAGGAUCUCCCCUCCUACGGAGACAAAUGCCAUUCCUCAGUGACUCCUCCUCACCUGAGGUCGGGUUGAUGAACUGUCCUCUUGAUGAGGCCCGGACCUCUCCACUGACCAUUACGGAAAUCUGAACAAACAGUUUUC